UCCACGCAGUAAACGAUGAAUGUUAGUCGUCGGGAUGCAAGUCAUUUCGGUGAUGCAGUUAACACAUUAAACAUUCCGCCUGGGGAGUACGGUCGCAAGAUUAAAACUCAAAGGAAUAGACGGGGACCCGCACAAGUGGUGGAGCAUGUGGUUUAAUUCGAAGAUACGCGAAGAACCUUACCUAGCCUUGACAUAUUUUAGAACUCCGUAGAGAUACAGAGGUGCCUUCGGGA
rnacentral:rRNA from 1 species